rnacentral:tRNA from 1 species
GCCCGAGUGGCGGAACGGCAGACGCGGUGGCCUCAAAAGCCACUGUCCUCACGGGCGUGUGGGUUCGAGUCCCACCUCGGGCA